GACGAACGCUGGCGGCGUGCUUAACACAUGCAAGUCGAACGGAAAGGCCCUGCUUGCAGGGUACUCGAGUGGCGAACGGGUGAGUAACACGUGGGUGCUCUGCCCUGCACUUCGGGAUAAGCCUGGGAAACUGGGUCUAAUACCGGAUAGGAGCCAUUUUUAGUGUGAUGGUUGGAAAGUUUUUUCGGUGUAGGAUGAGCUCGCGGCCUAUCAGCUUGUUGGGGGGGUAAUGGCCUACCAAGGCGGCGACGGGUAGACGGCCUGCGAGGGUGGACGGCCACAUUGGGACUGAGGUACGGCCCAGGCGCCUACGAGAGGCAGCAGUGGGGAAUAUUGCACAAUGGGCGCAAGCCUGAUGCAGCGACGCCGCGUGGGGGAUGACGGCCUUCGGGUUGUAAACUCCUUUCGCUAGGGACGAAGCUUUUUGUGACGGUACCUAGAGAAGAAGCACCGGCUAACUACGUG
rnacentral:rRNA from 1 species